GCUGGGUGUGGUGGCUCACGCCUGUAAUCCCAGCUACACAGGGGGCUGAAGCCGGAGGAUCGGGUUCAA
rnacentral:sRNA from 1 species